rnacentral:rRNA from 1 species
UACGGGGGGGGUAAGCGUUGUUCGGAAUUACUGGGCGUAAAGGGCUCGUAGGCGGCCAACUAAGUCGGACGUGAAAUCCCUCAGCUUAACUGGGGAACUGCGUCCGAUACUGGAUGGCUUGGAUUUGGGAGAGGGAUGCGGAAUUCCAGGUGUAGCGGUGAAAUGCGUAGAUAUCUGGAGGAACACCGGUGGCGAAGGCGGCAUCCUGGACCAAUAUUGACGCUGAGGAGCGAAAGCCAGGGGAGCAAGCGGG